rnacentral:rRNA from 1 species
UACGAGGGGGGCUAGCGUUACUCGGAAUUACUGGGCGUAAAGCGUGCGUAGGUGGUGAGUUAAGUCUGUCGUGAAAGCCCCGGGCUCAACCUGGGAAUGGCGAUGGAUACUGGCUCGCUAGAGUGCGGUAGAGGAGAGUGGAAUUCCCGGUGUAGCAGUGAAAUGCGUAGAGAUCGGGAGGAACAUCAGUUGCGAAGGCGGCUCUCUGGACCAGCACUGACACUGAGGCACGAAAGCGUGGGGAGCAAACAGG